rnacentral:lncRNA from 1 species
CUAUUCCUCAUCCUUUGGCUGGGACACUCCUCUGAGCAGAGGGUGAGUAAACCAGGAGCUUUCCUGGCAUGCAGGCUCAGGUUUGCAUAUGGAAGGGAUGCCUCUCUCAACAGAACCCAAUGUGUAUCACACACACCCCUUUGCAGCUCCUAGCCAAACCACCCAAGUUAGAGUUAACCAGAUUAUGUGGGACCCCACCCCUAAAUAUACUUUCUUUUCUUUAAAUUUGUUUUUAACCUCUAUAAUGCUAUUACAGUAAACAGGUGGGGGAUGUCUCAUUAGCUCAAAAGGAAGUGUGUAUGGUAUGGGUUUGACUGAGACCCUUUUUUUUUUUUUUUUGAGAUGGAGUCUUGCUCUGUUGCCCAGGCUGGAGUGCAGUGGUGCUAUCUCGGCUCACUACAACCUCCACCUCCUGGGUUCAAGUGAAUCUCCAUUCUUCUGCCUCAGCCUCCCAAGUAGCUGGGAUUACAG